GCGAGUGAAGCGGCAACAGCUCAAAUUUGAAAGCUGGCUUAGGCCCGCAUUGUAAUUUGCAGAGGAUGCUUCUGGCGAGGUGCCUUCCGAGUUCCCUGGAACGGGACGCCAUAGAGGGUGAGAGCCCCGUAUGGAUGGACACCAAACCUGUGUGAAGCUCCUUCAACGAGUCGAGUAGUUUGGGAAUGCUGCUCUAAAUGGGAGGUAAAUCUCUUCUAAAGCUAAAUACCGGCCAGAGACCGAUAGCGCACAAGUAGAGUGAUCGAAAGAUGAAAAGCACCUUGAAAAGGGGGUUAAACAGUACGUGAAAUUGUUGAAAGGGAAGCGCUUGUGACCAGACUUGCGCCGGGCAGCUCAUCAGGGGUUCUCCCCUGUGCACUCUGCCCGGCUCAGGCCAGCAUCGGUUCUCGUGGGAGGAUAAGAACGGUAGGAACGUGGCCCCCCUCCGGGGGGGUGUUAUAGCCUGCCGUACGAUACUCCCGUGGGGACCGAGGUUCGCGCUCCGCAAGGAUGC
rnacentral:rRNA from 1 species